ACGGGAGGCAGCAGUGGGGAAUAUUGCACAAUGGGGGAAACCCUGAUGCAGCGACGCCGCGUGAGUGAAGAAGUAUUUCGGUAUGUAAAGCUCUAUCAGCAGGGAAGAUAAUGACGGUACCUGACUAAGAAGCACCGGCUAAAUACGUGCCAGCAGCCGCGGUAAUACGUAUGGUGCAAGCGUUAUCCGGAUUUACUGGGUGUAAAGGGAGCGUAGACGGCAUGGCAAGUCUGAAGUGAAAGCCUGAGGCUCAACCCCGGAACUGCUUUGGAAACUGUUAAGCUAGAGUGCAGGAGAGGUAAGUGGAAUUCCUAGUGUAGCGGUGAAAUGCGUAGAUAUUAGGAGGAACACCAGUGGCGAAGGCGGCUUACUGGACUGUAACUGACGUUGAGGCUCGAAAGCGUGGGGAGCAAACAGGAUUAGAUACCCUGGUA
rnacentral:rRNA from 1 species